rnacentral:rRNA from 1 species
AGUCGAGCGAGUCUGCCUUGAAGAUCGGAGUGCUUGCACUCUGUGAAACAAGAUACAGGCUAGCGGCGGACGGGUGAGUAACACGUGGGUAACCUGCCCAAGAGAUCGGGAUAACACCUGGAAACAGAUGCUAAUACCGGAUAACAACAGAUGAUGCCUAUCAACUGUUUAAAAGAUGGUUCUGCUAUCACUCUUGGAUGGACCUGCGGUGCAUUAGCUAGUUGGUAGGGUAACGGCCUACCAAGGCGAUGAUGCAUAGCCGAGUUGAGAGACUGAUCGGCCACAUUGGGACUGAGACACGGCCCAAACUCCUACGGGAGGCAGCAGUAGGGAAUCUUCCACAAUGGACGCAAGUCUGAUGGAGCAACGCCGCGUGAGUGAAGAAGGGUUUCGGCUCGUAAAGCUCUGUUGUUGGUGAAGAAGGACAGGGGUAGUAACUGACCUUUGUUUGACGGUAAUCAAUUAGAAAGUCACGGCUAACUACGUGCCAGCAGCCGCGGUAAUACGUAGGUGGCAAGCGUUGUCCGGAUUUAUUGGGCGUAAAGCGAGUGCAGGCGGCUCGAUAAGUCUGAUGUGAAAGCCUUCGGCUCAACCGGAGAAUUGCAUCAGAAACUGUCGAGCUUGAGUACAGAAGAGGAGAGUGGAACUCCAUGUGUAGCGGUGAAAUGCGUAGAUAUAUGGAAGAACACCGGUGGCGAAGGCGGCUCUCUGGUCUGUUACUGACGCUGAGGCUCGAAAGCAUGGGUAGCGAACAGGAUUAGAUACCCUGGUAGUCCAUGCCGUANACGAUGAGUGCUAAGUGUUGGGAGGUUUCCGCCUCUCAGUGCUGCAGCUAACGCAUUAAGCACUCCG